rnacentral:lncRNA from 1 species
UAUAAGACUGCGUUCUGUGCUGAAAGUGGACUUUAGUAGGGUGCUGAUUUCCUAGCAAACCAUUAGAUAAGGACAGAUAGCAGAGCUUUACAUCAACGGCUCUGACUCACGCGAGCGUGGUUUGGGCAUAGGAGAUCAAACUAAAAAACCCAAGACCUUACUUAAAAUUCGAAAACCCUUUACUUCACCUAAAAGAUAUCUUGUGUCGUCUCUGUAACUUCAAAGUCCCUCUGAGAAUCCUCUCGUUGUCGUUCCUUCUCCGACGAUCGUUUUCCUUAAUUCUUUAGAGUAGUACUCCAAUCAAUCUUAUGUGCAUCUUUCAUUGCUGUUCCGAUGAUCAAUCUCCUUCCAUUGUUUUGCAAUUCCAUUCCCGUUUGAUCUUCUCUGUUUUCUUCAAUCUCCGUUCGAUUUCCUCUAUCUUCUUCAAUCUCCGUUCGAUUUCCUCUGUUUGCUGAAAUCUCCGUCUGAUCACCGUAGUUUCUUCAAUAUCCAUUCGAUCUCCUCUGUUUGAUCUUCUCCGUAAGAAAGAGAUGGCAACACACGCUGCCAAUCCAGCAUCCGAGCAGGGCGCUACAAACAGAGUAUAGAAACUAGUGUCGAUGACCGUCAAUUUUAGUAAUCUAACAACUGUAGAGCCACUCCUAGAAACAAGUUCUUUUACUGAAACAAGUUCUUUUACUGAAACUUGUUAGAGGGUGGUAUUAAUAUAUUUGAAGUAACUUCUUAGACCAUACCACCGAUCCAAUAGGAAAAUCGAUGAAACAGGCAAUGCUAAACUCGAAGUACAUCAACAUGUUGGGAUAAAUGCAAGGGACUCAUAUGAUGUCUUGGCUGAGAAAGCAGGUACUAAGUUGGGUUGGAGUAGGUAUUGGAGUAACAAAUAUAUAUAUUAACUUGUUUGGCGUACCUUUUGAAAUGGUCGGGGAAGAUAUUAACACUUUGUAAAUAUUCAUAUUUUUGACGUACUUAUAAAGUUAAUAGAUGUACUAUAUGAAAAAAAUGUAGGGGGAGAGAUGAAUAUCGGAUUCCUAGAGGAAGAUAUAUGAAACCAUCAGUAGGUAGCAAGGGAGAACCCUAUGAAACCAAGCGAGGUCCCAAUUCCCAACAAGCAAAUCAAGGAGAUGAUCCGAGUUGACAAAAACUACUACUUUGACACAGAAUAAGACAAUAAUGACUACAUAAAGAGUAUUUUCUAGGCAGACGAACAAAUGUGGACAGACUUUACUGUUUUUGGUGACUCAAUAAGCUUUGAUACAACCUACCGGACAAAUGACCACCACAGACAACUAGGUAAAAAAUUUCAACACCUACUUACACUAUUCUAUUAGCUACGUGAAACCUUCUUAUUUCAUAAAAAAAAUUACCUGCAGAUGUGUUUGUCAGGUAUAAUCACCACUGUCACCUGUGUGUCUUUGCUGCUGCACUACGAUAUGAUGAAACCACUAAAACAUUCACUUGGUUGUUCAAUACGUUCAAGAAAUGUACGAGGGGAAAAUCACCAAAACUAUAUUUACUGAUCAAGCUCCUACAAUAGCAGCAGGAAUAAGGUUUGUUCCGCUAAGUAGUGUCACUAAACCAACUUUUCUUAUGAUUAUAUCCACCACUCAAAUUGCCAAUACUACUGCUAAAAGCUGAUUAUCUACUAAAAACUCAUCUCUACCAUUAUUAUAUUUGGUGUACGCCGCUCAUUUUUAUUCCCACUAAUCAAUGUUUGCAGGUCUGUGUUUCCAAACCCAACCACAUUCCAUGGAUUAUGCAGUUUCAACAUAAUGCAACAACAACCUAUAGAAAUACAUGAAGCCUGACAAUAAUUUAUCAGUGCUCUUGGAACAGUUCAAUCGAAUGAUGGCCAAAAAGAGGCCCAAGGUUCUGAACCUUGACUAUCUAGUCAGACACAGGUGCAUUGUAAGAAAGAACUACACAAAUUAAUGGUUUAACUAUGUAUUUGAUUGAUAUAUCUACUUCAAAGUAUACAAUAACGACCUUUUAUAUAUAUAUAACUACUACAUCUUGAUCGACUGCUUAAAUGGUAUACCUAAUUUUAUCUAAUUACUUUGCUCCAUUAGGUUGCCAAUAAACCGUUUCAAAGAUAGCCCAAUUGCAAAACAAUUUUCUUUUGCAUGACACACAAGACAUAUAUGUUAAGUUUAUUAAGGAGAAUGCUCCAAUGUUAUCAUAUGCCAUUCAAAGGCUGCCACAAAACAACAGCCCCAAGGGCUGUAAAGCUUUGAGGUGUUCAAACGAGAAGAUCUGGAGACAAUCACCAACUUGUGAACGGUGAUGAUAAAUGUCGAAGACCAGGAAGUCAUAUGCGCAUGCCAAAAGUUUGAGUUGAAGGAUUACUUUGUCGUCAUAGUAUGCGACUCGUUGAGCUGCUCGGGUCUAUCGAUGAACCAACGCUGCUCCUAGUACCUAAGACGUACAUAUUGGAACGAUGGACUACAAAGGCUAGGAUUUUGGCAAAAGUGCAGGAAAAGCCUCAAAUGGCUGAUGAAACAGACACGAGGAGAUACCAGGGUUAUGUGCUCAGAUGUGCCUAGUUGCAGAAAAGGUAUGUUGCACUGAGUAAUAACUACAUUUUAUAAUACUAUAGGUAGUUUGUUCUAUUCAAUAACUACUGAUACUUCUAAAUAACAUAAUAACAACUACAACAACAUAGACGAUACCUACACUAGAUAACCAAUAAAAACUAAAUGUAACCACAUAAACAAGGACAAAAAAAGCAAUAACUACAUGAUAGAACUCUAUCACUAACAAUAAACAAGAGGUUAAAAUAACAGUGAAUUAAACGAUACAAAACGCCUCUAGAAGAAACCUCUAAAACCUACCACCAGAUUUCAACAAAAAGGAAUACGAACCCUAAGCAAUUUCUUGGAGAAAAGGCCAUCCAGAUGAUGAACACAAGUAACAAAGAAAAACCGAGGAAAUCACCACAAAGAGUAAACAAUGCAGAGUGUGACUGCGAAACAAAAACGAGACAAAGAUAUCACUAACCUACAGUGAAAAAUGAACGAACCAUGGAAGUGAUGAACGAACGUCGGAAGUGACGAACG